rnacentral:rRNA from 1 species
GACGAAGGUGACAACCGUUACUCGGAAUCACUGGGCAUAAAGCGCGCGUAGGUGGCUUGGUAAGUCCAUGGUGAAAUCCCUCGGCUCAACCGAGGAACAGCCGUGGAUACUGCCAAGCUUGAGUACGGGAGGGGUGAGUGGAACUCUGGGUGUAGCGGUGAAAUGCGUAGAUAUCCAGAGGAACGCCGGUGGCGAAAGCGACUCACUGGACCGUAACUGACACUGAGGCGCGAAAGCUAGGGGAGCAAACAGG